rnacentral:rRNA from 1 species
CCUACGGGAGGCAGCAGUCGGGAAUUUUGGGCAAUGGGCGAAAGCCUGACCCAGCAACGCCGCGUGAAGGAUGAAGUAUUUCGGUAUGUAAACUUCGUAAGAAUGGGAAGAAUAAAUGACGGUACCAUUUGUAAGGUCCGGCUAACUACGUGCCAGCAGCCGCGGUAAUACGGGGGGAGCAAGCGUUGUUCGGAUUUACUGGGCGUAAAGGGCGCGUAGGCGGCCACCGCAAGUCGACUGUGAAAUCUCCGGGCUUAACCCGGAAAGGUCAGCCGAUACUGCGGGGCUAGAGUGCAGAAGGGGCAACUGGAAUUCUCGGUGUAGCGGUGAAAUGCGUAGAUAUCGAGAGGAACACCUGCGGCGAAGGCGGGUUGCUGGGCUGACACUGACGCUGAGGCGCGAAAGCUAGGGGAGCGAACGGGAUUAGAUACCCCGGUAGUCCUAGCCUUAAACGAUGAAUGCUUGGUGUCUGGGGUUUUAUAGUCCCCGGGUGCCGUCGCUAACGCUUUAAGCAUUCCGCCUGGGGAGUACGGUCGCAAGACUGAAACUCAAAGGAAUUGACGGA